UUUAGUGGAAGGCAUCAGAGGCUCCAGCAAUCUGUCAGACAUGGCUUUGGAUGACGUCGCAAUAACAUUCGGGGAAUGUAAAGGCUCAACGAGCACAGAUGUGCCAUCAACUCUUAUACCACUGGUAACCAACGGAAGUCCCUCUGUUUGCAACUUCGGCUGCAACUUUGAUGAGGACCUCUGUGCCUGGAGUCAGACGAUGACUGACAGUUUU